rnacentral:rRNA from 1 species
UUACGGGAGGCAGCAGUCGGGAAUUUUGGGCAAUGGCCGAAAGGGCUGACCCAGCAACGCCGCGUGAGUGAAGAAGGCCUUCGGGUUGUAAAGCUCUGUUGCCCGUGAAGAACGGUACUCUCAGGAAAUGGGGAGUGCUUGACGGUAGCGGGAGAGGAAGCCCCGGCUAACUACGUGCCAGCAGCCGCGGUAAUACGUAGGGGGCAAGCGUUGUCCGGAUUUAUUGGGCGUAAAGGGCGUGUAGGCGGCCUUUUAAGUCUGAAGUGAAACUCCAGGGCUCAACCCUGGAACUGCUUCGGAUACUGGGAGGCUUGAGUACUCUAGAGGGCAGUGGAAUUGCCGGUGUAGCAGUGAAAUGCGUAGAGAUCGGCAGGAACACCAGUGGCGAAGGCGACUGCCUGGGGAGAAACUGACGCUGAGGCGCGAAAGCUGGGGGAGCAAACGGGAUUAGAUACCCCGGUAGA